UACGAAGGGGGCUAGCGUUGUUCGGAAUUACUGGGCGUAAAGGGCGCGUAGGCGGCCUGCUAAGUCACACGUGAAAUCCCUCGGCUCAACCGGGGAACUGCGUGUGAUACUGGCGGGCUUGAAUUCGGGAGAGGGAUGUGGAAUUCCAGGUGUAGCGGUGAAAUGCGUAGAUAUCUGGAGGAACACCGGUGGCGAAGGCGGCAUCCUGGACCGAGAUUGACGCUGAGGCGCGAAAGCUAGGGGAGCAAAACGGG
rnacentral:rRNA from 1 species